AUUGAACGCUGGCGGCAUGCCUUACACAUGCAAGUCGAACGGCAGCACGGGGGCAACCCUGGUGGCGAGUGGCGAACGGGUGAGUAACAUAUCGGAACGUGCCCUGGAGUGGGGGAUAACUAGUCGAAAGAUUAGCUAAUACCGCAUACGAUCUACGGAUGAAAGUGGGGGAUCGCAAGACCUCAUGCUCGUGGAGCGGCCGAUAUCUGAUUAGCUAGUUGGUGGGGUAAAGGCCUACCAAGGCAUCGAUCAGUAGCUGGUCUGAGAGGACGACCAGCCACACUGGGACUGAGACACGGCCCAGACUCCUACGGGAGGCAGCAGUGGGGAAUUUUGGACAAUGGGCGCAAGCCUGAUCCAGCAAUGCCGCGUGAGUGAAGAAGGCCUUCGGGUUGUAAAGCUCUUUUGUCAGGGAAGAAACGGUGAGGGCUAAUAUCCUUUGCUAAUGACGGUACCUGAAGAAUAAGCACCGGCUAACUACGUGCCAGCAGCCGCGGUAAUACGUAGGGUGCAAGCGUUAAUCGGAAUUACUGGGCGUAAAGCGUGCGCAGGCGGUUGUGCAAGACCGAUGUGAAAUCCCCGGGCUUAACCUGGGAAUGGCAUUGGUGACUGCACGGCUAGAGUGUGUCAGAGGGGGGUAGAAUUCCACGUGUAGCAGUGAAAUGCGUAGAGAUGUGGAGGAAUACCGAUGGCGAAGGCAGCCCCCUGGGAUAACACUGACGCUCAUGCACGAAAGCGUGGGGAGCAAACAGGAUUAGAUACCCUGGUAGUCCACGCCCUAAACGAUGUCAACUAGUUGUCGGGUCUUAAUUGACUUGGUAACGCAGCUAACGCGUGAAGUUGACCGCCUGGGGAGUACGGUCGCAAGAUUAAAACUCAAAGGAAUUGACGGGGACCCGCACAAGCGGUGGAUGAUGUGGAUUAAUUCGAUGCAACGCGAAAAACCUUACCUACCCUUGACAUGGCAGGAAUCCCGGAGAGAUUCGGGAGUGCUCGGAAGAGAACCUGCACACAGGUGCUGCAUGGCUGUCGUCAGCUCGUGUCGUGAGAUGUUGGGUUAAGUCCCGCAACGAGCGCAGCCCUUGUCAUUAGUUGCUACGAAAGGGCACUCUAAUGAGACUGCCGGUGACAAACCGGAGGAAGGUGGGGGUGACGUCAAGUCCUCAUGGCCCUUAUGGGUAGGGCUUCACACGUCAUACAAUGGUACAUACAGAGGGCCGCCAACCCGCGAGGGGGAGCUAAUCCCAGAAAGUGUAUCGUAGUCCGGAUUGCAGUCUGCAACUCGACUGCAUGAAGUUGGAAUCGCUAGUAAUCGCGGAUCAGCAUGUCGCGGUGAAUACGUUCCCGGGUCU
rnacentral:rRNA from 1 species